rnacentral:tRNA from 1 species
GCCUGGCUGGCUCAGUAGAGUGUGAGACUCUUGAUCUCAAGGUCAUGAGUUCAAACCCAAUGCUGGGUA